AUUGAACGCUGGCGGCAGGCCUAACACAUGCAAGUCGAACGGUAAAAGGAAACAGCUUGCUGUUUCGCUGACGAGUGGCGGACGGGUGAGUAAUGUCUGGGAAACUGCCUGAUGGAGGGGGAUAACUACUGGAAACGGUAGCUAAUACCGCAUAACGUCGCAAGACCAAAGAGGGGGACCUUCGGGCCUCUUGCCAUCGGAUGUGCCCAGAUGGGAUUGGCUAGUAGGUGGGGUAACGGCUCACCGAGGCGACGAUCCCUAGCUGGUCUGAGAGGAUGACCAGCCACACUGGAACUGAGACACGGUCCAGACUCCUACGGGAGGAAGCAGUGGGGAAUAUUGAACAAUGGGCGCAAGCCUGAUGCAGCCAUGUCGCGUGUAUGAAGAAGGCCUUCGGGUUGUAAAGUACUUUCAGCGGGGAGGAAGGGAGUAAAGUUAAUACCUUUGCUCAUUGACGUUACCCGCAGAAGAAGCACCGGCUAACUCCGUGCCAGCAGCCGCCGUAA
rnacentral:rRNA from 1 species